GCUCCAGUGGCGCAAUCGGUCAGCGCACGGUACUUAUACAGCAGUACAGGUGAAGCUAUGCCGAAGUUGGGAGUUCAAACCUCACCUGGAGCA